GACGAACGCUGGCGGCGUGCUUAACACAUGCAAGUCGAACGGAAAGGCCUUUUCGGCGGUACUCGAGUGGCGAACGGGUGAGUAACACGUGGGUGAUCUGCCCUGCACUCUGGGAUAAGCCUGGGAAACUGGGUCUAAUACCGGAUAGGACCGCACUUUAGUGUGUGUGGUGGAAAGUUUUUUCGGUGUAGGAUGAGCCCGCGGCCUAUCAGCUUGUUGGUGGGGUAAUGGCCUACCAAGGCGGCGACGGGUAGCCGGACUGAGAGGUUGGUCGGCCACAUUGGGACUGAGAUACGGCCCAGACUCCGACGGGAGGCAGAAGUGGGGAAUAUUGCACAAUGGGCGCAAGCCUGAUGCAGCGACGCCGCGUGGGGGAUGACGGCCUUCGGGUUGUAAACUCCUUUCGCCAGGGACGAAGCGUUUUGUGACGGUACCUGGAGAAGAAGCACCGGCUAACUACGUG
rnacentral:rRNA from 1 species